AGAGAGAGACAUGCGCGCAUAUCAAUAAGCGGAGGAAAAGAAACUAACAAGGAUUCCCUUAGUAACGGCGAGUGAAGCGGGAAGAGCUCAAAUUUGAAAUCUUCAAGGUUUUACCUUGACGAAUUGUAGUUUAAAGAAGUGUUUUCUGCUGAAGUUUUGGUAAAAGUUCUUUGGAAUAGGACAUCAUAGAGGGUGAGAAUCCCGUAUUUGACCAUUAUUUUCAGCUUUGUGAUACACUUUCAAAGAGUCGGAUUGUUUGGGAAUGCAGUCCAAAAUGGGUGGUAAAUUUCAUCUAAAGCUAAAUAUUGGCGAGAGACCGAUAGCGAACAAGUACCGUGAGGGAAAGAUGAAAAGAACUUUGAAAAGAGAGUUAAACAGUACGUGAAAUUGUCAAAAGGGAAGCGUUUGACACCAGUGUUGUUUUCUCGAAAAUCAAUUAAAAAUGGCUCGAUUUUGUAUUGCUGAGGACCUUAAAAGCUCACUGUACAUUUUUCGUGUCUUUUUUAAUGCACUUUUCGUUUAACAAGUCAACAUCAGUUUCUUUGUUGUAAAAGGGUCAUUGGAAGGUGGCUUUCUUUUCGGAGAAAGUGUUUAUAGCCUUUGGCCUCUGCAAUCGGAGAGACUUGAGGUCUGCAGCGUAGAUCCUUCGGGGUUAGAUACAUUUGUGCUAAGUUAUAGCCUUUUCAUAGACAACUUGUUGACUAUAAUCAGUCAUGUAGCUUACUCGCUUAUGCUAUUUUACCUACGCUUAGGAUGUUGAGUCGUAGAGCACGCA
rnacentral:rRNA from 1 species